AUACGUAGGGGGCAAGCGUUAUCCGGAUUUACUGGGCGUAAAGGAUGCGUAGGUGGAAUUUUAAGUGGGAUGUGAAAUACCCGGGCUCAACCUGGGAACUGCAUUCCAAACUGGAAUUCUAGAGUGCAGGAGAGGAAAGCGGAAUUCCUAGUGUAGCGGUGAAAUGCGUAGAGAUUAGGAAGAACACCAGUGGCGAAGGCGGCUUUCUGGACUGUAACUGACACUGAGGCAUAAAAGCGUGGGGAGCAAACAGGAUUAGAUACCCUGGUAGUCCACGCCGUAAACGAUGGGUACUAGGUGUAGGGGUUUCGAUACCUCUGUGCCGCCGUAAACACAAUAAGUACCCCGCCUGGGGAGUACGGUCGCAAGAUUAAAACUCAAAUGAAUUGGCGGGG
rnacentral:rRNA from 1 species